ACAGGAGGCAUAUUGUGUAUCUGGUUUGACGAUCCUUUUGUUCUGGAUAGGAGUUCCUGGUAUCAGGUUGUUUAUGGAGUCGCUUGGAGUAUCCUGACUGCCGGUCCCCACGUCACAUUAGAAGACCAGUCUUCGCAUUUUAUUUAUGUUUAUCGUGGUAUGUGUGUAUUUGGUUUUGUGUUCCGGUUUGUUUCCGGAGUAUUGUAUUGUUGUGUGGUGUAAGCCUAGCCAGCUAGAAGUCUUGUAUAUUUGGUUUUCUAUCAUUUUCCGCUGUAUUUUGUUUUUUGGUACAGCCGAGUGUGCUGCUUUACAUAUAACUGCGUGGUUGUGUUACAUAUUUUGUAUCAGCCGAGUAGGCUGUAUAUAAACUGCAUGGUUGUGUGUAUGUUCCAGCCGCCUGUGGCUGAUGUAUAUUGUGUAUGUAGAAAUGUUUCAGAUUGUCAUCCGUAUAGGGGAGGUGUUGUCGAAAUUUGUUCGGAUAGGGACUCUCCUGGGACGUGACAAUGGUCUAUUGGAAAGUAAUAUUCCUAUGGAGGUGGUACCAAUCUUGCUUGGUUUGCUCUCAUUGGUGCAGCCAAAAACACAACACCACAAUUGCAGUUGAUCAACAAGGCCAUAUUGAGUAGAUAGAAUUGUAUGAGCAAAGAAAGAUAGAAGUAUGUUCAAUGAUAGGGCGGAGCUGGAACUCUUGACUGAUAUGCAAGAUGAAGUUGCACAAGAAAACAACACCGAGAGUUAUGCAAAAUUAGAAUAAAUGAAAGCAUGUUUAUGUCAUGGAAUACUGAUUUGAACAAGUAGCAAGCAAUAAACAUCGUCGUGCAAUAAAAAAAGGAAAAUUGGACA